rnacentral:rRNA from 1 species
AUUGAACGCUGGCGGCAGGCUUAACACAUGCAAGUCGAGCGGGGUGAUGGUGCUUGCACUAUCACUUAGCGGCGGACGGGUGAGUAAUGCUUAGGAAUCUGCCUAUUAGUGGGGGACAACAUCUCGAAAGGGAUGCUAAUACCGCAUACGUCCUACGGGAGAAAGCAGGGGAUCACUUGUGACCUUGCGCUAAUAGAUGAGCCUAAGUCGGAUUAGCUAGUUGGGGGGGUAAAGGCCUACCAAGGCGACGAUCUGUAGCGGGUCUGAGAGGAUGAUCAUCCACACUGGGACUGAGACACGGCCCAGACUCCUACGGGAGGCAGCAGUGGGGAAUAUUGGACAAUGGGGGGAACCCUGAUCCAGCCAUGCCGCGUGUGUGAAGAAGGCCUUAUGGUUGUAAAGCACUUUAAGCGAGGAGGAGGCUCUUUUGGUUAAUACCCAAGAUGAGUGGACGUUACUCGCAGAAUAAGCACCGGCUAACUCUGUGCCAGCCGCCGCCGUAA